rnacentral:rRNA from 1 species
UACAGAGGUCCCGAGCGUUGUUCGGAUUCACUGGGCGUAAAGGGUGCGUAGGUGGUGAGGUAAGUCGGAUGUGAAAUCUCCAAGCUCAACUUGGAAAUGGCACUGGAAACUACCUUGCUGGAGGUUUGGAGGGGGGACUGGAAUUCUCGGUGUAGCAGUGAAAUGCGUAGACAUCGAGAGGAACACCAGUGGCGAAGGCGAGUCCCUGGACAAAACCUGACACUGAGGCACGAAAGCUAGGGGAGCAAACAGG